AUGGACUGUUGGCUGCUGGGCUAUGUGGCCCUCUGUCUCUUGGGAGCGGCCUCCAUGGACACUGGAAUUACCCAGAUGCCUAAAUACCUGGUGAUGGUGAAGGCAGGAAAAGCCACCCUGAAGUGUGAACAACACCUGGGACAUGAUGCUAUGUACUGGUAUAGACAGAGUGCUCAGAAGCCACCAGAACUCAUGUUUUACUAUGAAAAUCGGGGACUCCUUGACAAUAACACAAUUCCUGGUCGCUUCUUGCCUGCAUGCCCAGACAGCUCCCACUUGAACCUCCAAGUGGACCCUGUGAAGCCAGAAGACACCUCUGUGUACCUCUGUGCCAGCAGCAGAGACACAGCCCCACACAGUCCACUUCUCCCUGUGCACAAACCUGCUGGCAGCUGCAGGAAGCAGGGCUCAGCAGGGCUCAGCUCCCAUUUCCUGGAGCUCCUCACACAGACAUCUCUGAGCAGAAUCCUGCCUGUGAGUUCAAGGACAGGAGUGCUAGAUGCCAUGUGCAGAUACCAACACUUCCUGUCCAGGCUUAGUCCUGAAAGGGUUGUUCCUACAGCUGAGUUUCAUAGACAUGACCACAUUCUAGUUCCUGUUCCAAUCAGCAACCAAUCAGCCAGCAGCUAG